rnacentral:lncRNA from 1 species
GAGUUUGGAGAUUUCCCCGGGCGUGAGAGCGCGGACUGGAAGCUGGGUGUUCAAAGGGUGUGAGAAGGGACCAAGACCCGCAUCUUCUGGGCAAAGUUUUCGGGGAGAUGGAAGGAGAGAGGGUCGGGACUGAGUUGCUGGUCUUGGGGACAGAGCAGCCGGAGCUGCGCACCAAGGCUUAGAGUCGGGCGGGAGAUGCGGGGAGAGGGAGGGGGCGGGGAGGGAGGGGAGGGAGAGAGGAGGAAGGGGUGAGAGGGAGAAACCUGCCGCGGCUCUCCGCCUCUUUGUCUGCUCUGGGACUUGGAACAAAAGGGGAAACUCUGAUGAACUCCUUCUCCAGCUCCCUGGACGCCCGAGUAUCUCUUUCUCGCAACUUUGUCAACGCGACUUUCUCCGCUGUCAGGCUGCGCAAAAGUAUCCUAGCGCCUCGCAGGCUGCAACAAUGGAAACAAUGUCCCUUCAAAGUGCGACGAAGUGGAGGGAGAAGGUGUCAUACCAGCGACUCCAAGAGUCAUGUCACCCACUUAGCAGGAGUACUUCUACUGAAAUGCCUUCGAAUUUCUCUUACUGGAUAUAUACCUACCAGCCGCUAGCAUGAAGAUGCCAGGACCGCUGCAAGUUAGCACUGGACAAAGUAGCAUCAACUUCUUCAUUUAGAGUUUCUUCAGUUAAAUUGCUGGGAUUUUCGACAAGGCUUUCCUUAUGUGGAUUAUUGGAGUGUGAUGCCCGAGAAUUCUCUACUUGUAGAAGCACGCCCACGGGACUGCAGAAGCCUUCACACCCACCCAGCACGCUCAGAUCAUCCAGUAACCAACCCAGGAAGUUCUUGUAAGCAUGCAUUUCUUAGUCAACACUGAAUGCCUUUAGACCGAGGUCAACCUUUUCAGCUGGUACCGUGGUUUACACUGCUGAUGGGAAUGAGUGAUGGCCAUCCAGUGACCAGCUGGAUCUGACUGCCUUACAAGACGCAUGUGUAUGAUUAAGAGAGAGACAUUCGUGACUCCCAGAUGUACCUCCUUCCUGUCCCACAGUGUUCCUGAAGGGAGUGAGUUAUGGGGCGACAUCUGCAGAGAGGUGGAACCAUCUAGGGAGGCCUGCCACUGUUUGCUGAGCUCCGGGUGAGGAUGAAGACACUUUGACAUGGCCAGCUUCAGACUCGGGAUCUGUCGGUGUUAGCAGCCGAAGGAGAAUGAGGAGGAAGAGGAGGAGAAAGAGGAGGAGGAAGUAAGACAGAGGGGGACAAGAGGACCAAGAGGGCACAUGGCUGAGGAGGAGGAGAACAACAACAACAACAACAACAACAACAACAACAAGAAGCUUGGUGGUGAAACUUGGAAGCCCUCUCCAGGAUGCAGCAGGUAGCUGAGGAGAAAACGAAGACUGACCAGCCCAGAGCUCAGAGCUUCCUCCCAUGCUCAGGAUUUACCACCAAUGCCAUUACAUCGGCCUCUUCUUGUAUGCCUCUGGAAACCACAUGUGUCCUCUGUUUGUAAUGGUUUGGCUAUGGUUGCUGGCCCCUCUUGGACAUUGUUUUCAGAACUUAAAGAAACAUUGCUUUAAAGAUUUAUUAGAACAUAUUUAAAAUAAAACCAUCUUCUCAUUUAGUAUGCAA